GACAGAGGGUGCAAACGUUGUUCGGAAUUACUGGGCGUAAAGCGAGUGUAGGCGGUGUGGUAAGUCGGAUGUGAAAGCCCCGGGCUCAACCCGGGAAGUGCAUUCGAUACUGCCACGCUAGAGUAUCGGAGAGGUUGGUGGAAUUCUCGGUGUAGAGGCGAAAUUCGUAGAUAUCGAGAGGAACACCCGUGGCGAAGGCGGCUCUCUGGGACGGUACUGACGCUGAGACGCGAAAGCGUGGGGAGCGAACAGG
rnacentral:rRNA from 1 species